rnacentral:tRNA from 1 species
AGGUGGUAGUAAGAGGAUUUAACCCCUGUAAAUGAGGCUACAACUCAUCACCUGCCACUCGGCCACUCUACC